rnacentral:rRNA from 1 species
AUUGAACGCUGGCGGCAGGCCUAACACAUGCAAGUCGAACGGUAACAGGAAACAGCUUGCUGUUUCGCUGACGAGUGGCGGACGGGUGAGUAAUGUCUGGGAAACUGCCUGAUGGAGGGGGAUAACUACUGGAAACGGUAGCUAAUACCGCAUAACGUCGCAAGACCAAAGAGGGGGACCCUCGGGCCUCUUGCCAUCGGAUGUGCCCAGAUGGGAUUAGCUUGUGGUGGGGUAACGGCUCACCAAGGCGACGAUCCCUAGCUGGUCUGAGAGGAUGACCAGCCACACUGGAACUGAGACACGGUCCAGACUCCUACGGGAGGCAGCAGUGGGGAAUAUUGCACAAUGGGCGCAAGCCUGAUGCAGCCAUGCCGCGUGUAUGAAGAAGGCCUCGGUUGUAAGUACUUUCUAGCGGGAGGAGGAG